rnacentral:rRNA from 1 species
UCAAUAAGCGGAGGAAAAGAAACUAACAAGGAUUCCCCUAGUAACGGCGAGUGAAGCGGGAAGAGCUCAAAUUUGAAAUCUGGUAGCCUUCGGUUGCCCGAGUUGUAAUCUAGAGAAGUGUUUUCCGCGUUGGCCCAUGUACAAGUCCCUUGGAACAGGGCGUCAUAGAGGGUGAGAAUCCCGUCCUUGACAUGGACCCCCAAUGCUUUGUGAUACACUUUCAACGAGUCGAGUUGUUUGGGAAUGCAGCUCAAAAUGGGUGGUGAAUUCCAUCUAAAGCUAAAUAUUGGCGAGAGACCGAUAGCGAACAAGUACCGUGAGGGAAAGAUGAAAAGCACUUUGGAAAGAGAGUUAAACAGUACGUGAAAUUGUUGAAAGGGAAACGAUUGAAGUCAGUCAUGCUCUUUGGAUUAAGCCGUUCUGCGGUGUAUUUCAUUGAGCGGGGUCAACAUCAGUUUUGAUCGCUGGAAAAGGGCAGGAGGAAGGUAGCACUCUCGGGUGAACUUAUAGCCUCUUGUCGUAUACAGUGAUUGGGACUGAGGAACGCAGCAUGCCUUUUGGCCGGGAUUCGUCCACGUACAUGCUUAGGAUGUUGACAUAAUGGCUUUAAACGACCCGUCUUGAAACACGGACCAAGGAGUCUAACAUAUCUGCGAGUAUUUG